GACAUAGGUGGUAUCCACCUAUAUAAUUCCUGCUACUGAGGAGGCUGAAGUUAGCAACUGUUUUGAACUCAGAGGCUAUGAGCUGCAGUGGGCUAAGCCAGUCAAUUGUCCUCACUAAGUAUAGCAUCAGUACAGUGAGACCCUGGAAUAGGGAGUCUCUGAGUUGCCUAAGGAGGGCCAUAUGAGCCCCGAUUGGAAACAGAGCAGGUCAAAGCUCCCAUACCAGUAAGUAGUGAAUUGGACCCAUGAUUAGUUUCUGCAUUCCCAGCCUAGGCAAGAUAUAUUCAGUCUUAUUUA
rnacentral:SRP_RNA from 1 species